rnacentral:tRNA from 1 species
UGGCUGAGUGGUAAAGCACUUGCUUCUGAACUGGAGAUCCCAGGUUCGAAUCCUGG